UACGUAGGUGACCAGCGUUGUCCGGAUUUAUUGGGCGUAAAGAGCUCGUAGGCGGCUUGUCGCGUCGGAUGUGAAAGCCCGGGGCUUAACUCCGGGUCUGCAUUCGAUACGGGCAGGCUAGAGUGCGGUAGGGGAGACUGGAAUUCCUGGUGUAGCGGUGAAAUGCGCAGAUAUCAGGAGGAACACCGGUGGCGAAGGCGGGUCUCUGGGCCGUAACUGACGCUGAGGAGCGAAAGCAUGGGGAGCGAACAGG
rnacentral:rRNA from 1 species